rnacentral:tRNA from 1 species
CGGUCUGUAGCUCAGUUGGUUAGGAGCGCACCCCUGAUAAGGGUGAGGUCGGUAGGUUCAAGUCUACUCAGACCCACCA